UCGUCGAAGGUGGGACUGGCGAUUGGGACGAAGUCGUAACAAGGUAGCCGUACCGGAAGGUGCGGCUGGAUCACCUCCUUU
rfam:Streptomyces decoyicus strain NRRL 2666 P029contig297.1, whole genome shotgun sequence.